rnacentral:rRNA from 1 species
UACGUAGGGUGCGAGCGUUGUCCGGAAUUAUUGGGCGUAAAGAGCUCGUAGGCGGUGUGUCGCGUCGGCCGUGAAAACCUGGGGCUUAACUCUGGGCGUGCGGUCGAUACGGGCAUCACUGGAGUUCGGCAGGGGAGACUGGAAUUCCUGGUGUAGCGGUGAAAUGCGCAGAUAUCAGGAGGAACACCAGCGGCGAAGGCGCUGCUCUGGGCCGGUACUGACGCUGAGGAGCGAAAGCGUGGGGAGCGAACAGG